rnacentral:rRNA from 1 species
GAUGAACGCUAGCGACAGGCUUAACACAUGCAAGUCGAGGGGCAGCAUAGAAGUAGCAAUACUUUGGUGGCGACCGGCGCACGGGUGAGUAACGCGUAUGCAACCUACCUAUCAGAGGGGAAUAACCCGGCGAAAGUCGGACUAAUACCGCAUAAAACAGGGGCACCGCAUGGUGAUAUUUGUUAAAGAAAUUCGCUGAUAGAUGGGCAUGCGUUCCAUUAGGUAGUUGGUGAGGUAACGGCUCACCAAGCCGACGAUGGAUAGGGGAACUGAGAGGUUGGUCCCCCACACUGGUACUGAGACACGGACCAGACUCCUACGGGAGGCAGCAGUGAGGAAUAUUGGUCAAUGGCGGGAGCCUGAACCAGCCAAGUCGCGUGAAGGAAGAAGGAUCUAUGGUUCGUAAACUUCUUUUGCAGGGGAAUAAAGUGCAGGACGUGUCCUGUUUUGUAUGUACCCUGAGAAUAAGGAUCGGCUAACUCCGUGCCAGCAGCCGCGGUAACAC